GGUGUUUUUUCUCUCUCUCUUCACAGAAAGAGCGGGAGCAGCAGGGGAAGUGAAGGCUACCAGAGGGGCAGCCGAGAAGGAAAGCAGAAUGUUGACUCCAGCAAGAAUCAGAUAAUACAUGCGAUCAAUCUGGUAUAGUCACAGGUACGAUGGAAGUCUCCCUGAGCUCCUACAUCCUGCAGGAGGACCAUGCAAUUCCCCUACAGCCACCUCAACUGCUCUAAGACUAAAGUGGAUAGCUGGAAGGACUUUACCUGAGCUUACCUGAACAUUUUGCUGAGCAGCUGCUCACCAAAAGCUCUUGACCAAAACUUCCCUACACACUCUGCUAACAGAUAUUUUUUGAACAGUGAAGUAAUUCAGAAUUAUAGUGAGAGGAUGCGGUAAAGUGGGGCUGAGCCACGAUCAUGUUGAAUAUUGGAGAAAGCUCAAAGGGCCAGAUGGCCUACUCCUGCUCUUUGUUCUGAUAUGUUUGGGGCUUAAGCACUCCUCGAUACCAGGCCAACAGCAUCUGCUCUUCAGUGCAGGUGAUACCUUGUGGGCUUUGUGUAUAGGCCGAUAUUAGAUUAGAUUCCCAACAGUGUGAAAACAGGCCCUGCUGAAGAGUAACUCACCCAGUCCCAUUUCCCUCUGACUAACGCACCUAACACUAUGGGCAACUUAGCAUGGCCAAUUCACCUGACCUGCACAUCUUUGGACUGUGGGAGGAAACCGGAGCACCCAAAGGAAACCCACGCAGACACAAGGAGAAAGUACAAACUCCACACCGACAGUUGCCCGAAGCUGGAAUUGAACCUGGAACAGUGGGGCUAUACUGAGCCAAUGUGAUUCCUCUCCCUCUCAAUCUUCUUUUGAGGAAUACACUUCUUGUGAAAAAGAUGGAUAUACAAUGAUAUAGUUUGGGAGUGAGGAAGGGAAAAUGGUGGAAGUGAGCUUAGAGAUUGCCUUUUCUGUAAUUGAUGGGUUGAGCAGGGUGAGGCUGGGUAAGAUAUGGUGGAAGCUGAGAACCAGGAAUGGGGAAAUGACUGAAACUGAGAGUCCGGAGAGUUAAGGAGGCUCCUGGAAAGACAACUACUCGCGAGUGACAACAUAUGCUGAAAGGAACAAGUCACAACCGUGUCAACCCAACACAGUGGGCAUGGGAAGUGUAUGGGCUUUGACUCUGUUGUCUUUCCCUUAGUAACUGUGCUGAUUGUUUGAACUGAAAGCCCGUGUUCAAAUCUCAGCUCGUCCAGAGGCAUUUUAAUAAAAAUCUGGAAGGGAACGAGGGUUAAAAAUGCUAUUGUUUCAUGAAAGGAGUCCAGUAACAUAGGAAUUCAGAACCAUCAGAGAUAGUCAAUGUGAGACUUCAUUCAGAGAGGGAAAGAAAAGGGUUGGAAUAUGACAAGGAGCAGCUGCGAAGAGCAAUGAGAAAGGUUUAUAAGGAGCCGCUCAGUGUUCCCUUCACUCAAUCUUGUGGCGCCACUUUGGGUUGGAAAAUGACAUAGGGCAAGUGUAAUCUGUUGGUUGUGUGAGUACAGAGGGCAGAUAUUGGUAUUGCCAUUUAUACUUAGUUUUUUUUAAUGUCUUUAUUUUACAGUUUUGUAAGGGAAAAGCCCCGGAAAUUGUUCAACAUUAUUUGAUUUUAAGAGCCUUUUAAAGUUGAAUCCAAGAGGAUUAUCACAGGAGCACUCAAUAUUGUGGAUGCUGCUUGUGCUCCCUUUGGGUGGCCAGGCACAUUUCCAGUAGCUGGGAUCAGAAUGUCUGCAGCAAGUGCCUCCAUAGCAGCCACUGGGGACUCGGUAGGGUCUCUGCAAAGCUGAGAACAUUGCAGAUAGCAUGUGUCGCACUGCAAGCUCAGGUUCCGCAGGCAGAGUCAGAAAACUAGGGCGGCAGAUCAGGAAACAUCUCUGACAUUCCCCUGCAAAACAGCUUAAUCACUUUCGAUAUUUGAGGGCUCUUGGGGAAAAGCAGUCAUUGCCAAAUUGGUUACAACACAGCAAGGUCUGCUGCAUGGGUGAGGAGGAGAAAUUGUGACAAUGCAAUAAUUACAGGGGGUUUAAUUGUAAAGGGAAUAGGUAAGUGCUGCUGUAGCCACAAAUGAGUGCAUUGUUUCUCUGGUGUUUGUGUGAAGGAUGUCUCAGAGCAGCAACAGGAAGGAGAGGGCACAGCCAAUGAUGGUGUAUAUGUCAGUACCAAUGAUACAGCCAACAGAAAAAGGGCUGAGGUCGUGAAACUGAAUGUAGGGAAGAAUGUUGGGACAGGGAUUUAAAGGCAGUGGUAUCAUCAUUAAUAACAGUACCAAGUGUGAGGCAGAGUAGAAGUAGCAGGAUGUAUCAAUUGAAUACAUGACUGGAAAGUGAUGCAAAGGGGAGGGUUUCAGAAUCUGGGAUAUUGGCAUCAUUUCUGGGGGAGGUGAGGCAAGUAUAAACUUGUUGGGUUACACCCAGAUACAACCGGAACUGAUGCCCCAAGGCAAAUAUUUGCCAAUCAUGGAAUGCUACAGCAUAGAAACAUGCUGUUCAGCUAUCAUGUCUAUGCAGAUGAAUAAACAUCAAACUACACUCAUCCCUAUUACCUGCGCGUGGCCCAUAGUCAAAUACAUCAGAAUGACGGGCUUUUGUCUGAAACUUCAAUUUUCCUGCUCCUCAGAUGUCGCCUGAUCUGCUGUGCUUUUCCAGCACUACACUCUCGACUCUAAUCUUCAGCAUCUGCAGUCCUUAUUUUUGCAUAGUUAAAU